ensembl:lncRNA
CGCACGGCUCCAGGUGGGUCCCGCACUCCGGGGAUGGGCUCAGCUGUGCGGGGUGGGCAGCGGGAGCGGAUCGCCAGCACCUGGGGCGGGGAAGGGGCGUAAAAACCAGCAGGUGGAGGCACCGCCCCUUCCCCUGGGCUCCCCUCGGUCCGUGGAGCUUUGCUUUUGCUCUGAGGAGCUCUCUCGUGGUUUCUCUGGUGACGUCGGUUGAGUUGCAGUGCGUGGCCUUGCUAGCAGCUCAUGUGCGUGCAGAUAUAACACAGCUGAGGAUGUGCUGAGGGAGAGUGCACAACUGAGCACAAAAGAUCUGGGCGAAAGAGCACGUGCUGCAGCUGAACUCCUAAAGCCCUCUCCAAACCAGAGGCUAAGCUAAUGAUGAGACAUGAAGACCGUUUAGAGACAGCACGACUCCAGCAAUCCAUGAGAACAAUGCAAAGUUCAAAAAUAGCAGUAUCGACUGGUGGAAAAACAACAUACAUAUAAUUUUCAGGUAAUUACUAUAGUAUAAUUAGCUCUCUUGUUUUCCUAAGAGCCGGCUGAAAUGAACUGUGCUUGCUGCUCGAGCUCAGCCUUAUUUACAGUGUUCCCAGGACUAAAGCGAUCCUUUAAAAAAUCGAGAUUAGGUAAAAAAAAUAAAGACAGGAGUGCUUAGUAGGAGAUAGCAUCUCCGUGCUGUGGGUGGAGGCUGGCUGCUGGCGUCUCCGUCAGCAUUUCACCCGGCUCUGCUCCCAGCCUCAUUAGACGACAUCAGAGCUGAAGGACUGCAGCACAGAUGCAAAAUCUGCUCCUGUGCUAUCUGUGUUACUUCCCUGCGUGGUCUUAUGGGGGCAAGAGAGCUGGAAAACGGUACGAUGUGGGGAGGAAAGAGGCUCAGACUGUAGCAUGCCUCUAUCUUUUUCCAGAUCGCUGCCUGUGACCGAUGCCCUGUGCAAAAUUGUUACAAAACAGGACUGUGUGGAAGUGCUGCAUUUCACAUGUACAGUGCAGUGGGAGUGCAAAGAGGGGGAGCAACGUAGCACUGUAACAGGGAUUUACUCUCAGAGUUCUGGAAAAUGUAGUUCCUUGAGCUCUUUAAUUUUUUUUUUUCUCUGCCACAGAACUUUCCUUGUUAGGAAUUAUUUGGUAUCUGUAGAAUGUAACUUCUUGUGUGAGGAAGCCUUGCAGUCUUAAUUGAAAUCACUAGUAAUCAAAAUGGAAGAGUUUGUCCAAAACGAAAAGCUUGGUUUUGUUGGUGUUGUAAGUCUGCAUGGUUUAUUACAAACCCGCCCCACCUCUCUGAAGGUACUUGGAAGCAGAAAACUUUCUGCAGUUUCCUGUCUUUGGGUUUGGGUUGUCCUUGGCCCGGGGAGGACAUGGCUGUGGCACAGAGCUGCACUCUCCAUGGCCCAAGGUGAGCCGGCCGCAGUGCUUUCUGCUCCUUGUUCCCCAUCUACGUGCUGUGAAAAUGGGUGCUAAUGGGGAAAAAUCACAAUUGUGACUCAGUGAGGUGGAAUUUUGUUGACAAAAUCUGAAUUCAGCUCAGCCAAAGGAAAUGCUUUUGCAAGUGUAGAUGAAUAUCUCAAGAAUGACCAUUAAUUCUAGCUUUCUUGGGGAAGAAAAAGAAGAGCGGAAAGAAAGGAAAAAAGAAGAUGGACAUUCAAAUCCAUUUUCUCACCAGAGAAAGGUGAGCAAAUGUACACGCAGAAACAGAUUCAUUCCUUGGGGCAGUUAUUUUCUGAGAUAAAACUUACAGGGGUUACCUUGGGUAAGUUAAACCAGUGCUGGGAGGGUUUGGCAGGAAGGUAGGAUGCGGCUGCCUUCUUAGCUAGGAUGGUGUGUAACGUGUGUGCCUCAUCUCAAUACAGAAGGCAGUUCUCCUAUCGCACAGUAUCAUCCAGUGCAAUCGAGUUUUGAAUCAUAGAAUCAUUAAGGUUGGAGAAGACCUCUAAGAUCACGCAGUCCAACUGUCAGAUCAUCCCCACCAUGCCCGCUAACCACGUCCCUCAGUACCACAUCCAUGCAGUUCUUGAACUCCUCGAGGGAUGAUGAAUCCACCAUCUCCCUGGGCAGUCUGUUCCAAAAUAUCAGCAAGGCUGAACGAAUGUAUUUUCACGUGAGCGCUCUGCAGCAGUGGUCAUCCAGCCUUUAUUUUUCUUCCCACAUCGUGCUUUAUGAAGGUGUUAGACUUACAGGGUUUGAGCAGGAGGGAACCUCCUCUCCUGGGGAACCAUAGGAAGACCCCGUCCUGUCCAUCCUCACUGAAAACCACCUCUAUUUGACAUCACCACUACUUAAUUUUGACACAGUCCGUGUAUAGAAUAGCUUAACUCCAAAGGGCGGGCCUUAAGAACAUUAGCAGGGCGCUAUGAGCCAGCAGAUAUUGCCCAUUGGUAGUAGGGAGGAAAAGGCUAAGCAAAUAGUUUUAAAGAAUGGGCUAAUUGUGUGCCUAUUGCCAUUGUCCUGCAGCUGCAGUGCUUUGUAUGGCAGCAAAGUGCACGGGGAGCCAAGCUUGGCUUGGCAUCCAUAACUCCAGCCUGGGAAUACAAUAUACAGGGCAUGCAAGUAUCAGAGAGGACAAUUAGAAAUUUUGAAAGAUUAAACACAAAAUUGCAAUGGAAAAAGAGUUUGUAUAGCAGCCAAGGCAGGCUUUGAGGGCUUGGUGUUGUAAAAUGCACUCAUGUGUACAGUAAGAAGGCAAGUUGAUAUUUAGGAACUGAAAAAACAGGAAACAUGCAGAUGAGGCUCGUAUGUGUCACACUGUAACGCUGCAUGUGUAAUUAAAGAUGAUAGUAACUCAUUUACAUGUGCUUUCCAUCCUGCAAUAACACUGUUCUAUCAGCAGGCCUAAGGACAUAAAACAGGUAACCUUAACAGAACGGUUCAGAUUUUUUCCCUAAUUUAGGAUUUUAGGUGGUUAGCUCUCUGUGCAUUUUAAUAACACAGGCACCAGUGAUGUAAUUAAUGCUCUUACCUAAAUAAGUACCAGCCUUUAUUUUGGGCCUAAUUUGAGAUGGUGGUAAUGUAACAUUGCACUUAGCUGUGCAUUCAGGGGAGAUGUGUGCACCAGCUGAGUUUCAGUUACUUUACAUUGCUGAACUUACUGAAUAGCACGUGGAGCCAUUCCAUGUACGUUGUAUAUAAAGAAUUAAAAGAAUCUAUUCUAUCACUUGACAUGCUGGCUACUCCAUUCUGC